GAACGGCAGCACGGACUUCGGUCUGGUGGCGAGUGGCGAACGGGUGAGUAAUGUAUCGGAACGUGCCCAGUAGCGGGGGAUAACUACGCGAAAGCGUAGCUAAUACCGCAUACGCCCUACGGGGGAAAGCAGGGGAUCGCAAGAUCUUGCACUAUUGGAGCGGCCGAUAUCGGAUUAGCUAGUUGGUGGGUAACGGCUCACCAAGGCGACGAUCCGUAGCUGGUUUGAGAGGACGACCAGCCACACUGGGACUGAGACACGGCCCAGACUCCUACGGGAGGCAGCAGUGGGGAAUUUUGGACAAUGGGGGAAACCCUGAUCCAGCCAUCCCGCGUGUGCGAUGAAGGCCUUCGGGUUGUAAAGCACUUUUGGCAGGAAAGAAACGUCGUGGGUUAAUACCCCGCGAAACUGACGGUACCUGCAGAAUAAGCACCGGCUAACUACGUGCCAGCAGCCGCGGUAAUACGCAGGGUGCAAGCGUUAAUCGGAAUUACUGGGCGUAAAGCGUGCGCAGGCGGUUCGGAAAGAAAGAUGUGAAAUCCCAGAGCUUAACUUUGGAACUGCAUUUUUAACUACCGGGCUAGAGUGUGUCAGAGGGAGGUGGAAUUCCGCGUGUAGCAGUGGAAUGCGUAGAUAUGCGGAGGAACACCGAUGGCGAAGGCAGCCUCCUGGGAUAACACUGACGCUCAUGCACGAAAGCGUGGGGAGCAAACAGGAUUAGAU
rnacentral:rRNA from 1 species